rnacentral:rRNA from 1 species
UACAGAGGUCUCAAGCGUUGUUCGGAUUCAUUGGGCGUAAAGGGUGCGUAGGUGGCGCCGUAAGUCGGGUGUGAAAUUUCGGAGCUUAACUCCGAAACUGCAUUUGAUACUGGCGUGCUUGAGGACUGGAGAGGAGACUGGAAUUCAUGGUGUAGCAGUGAAAUGCGCAGAUAUCAGGAGGAACACCGGUGGCGAAGGCGGGUCUCUGGGCCGGAACUGACGCUAAGGAGCGAAAGCGUGGGGAGCGAACAGG